rnacentral:rRNA from 1 species
AGAAUCAACGCUGGCGGCGUGCCUAACACAUGCAAGUCGAACGAGAAAGUGGAGCAAUCCAUGAGUAAAGUGGCGCACGGGUGAGUAACACGUGACUAACCUACCCUUGAGUGGGGGAUAACCUAGAGAAAUCUGGGCUAAUACCGCAUAAUACCUUCGGGUCAAAGGAGCAAUUCGCUUAAGGAGGGGGUCGCGGCCGAUUAGUUAGUUGGCGGGGUAAUGGCCCACCAAGACUAUGAUCGGUAUCCGGCCUGAGAGGGCGCACGGACACACUGGAACUGAAACACGGUCCAGACUCCUACGGGAGGCAGCAGUGGGGAAUUUUGCGCAAUGGGGGAAACCCUGACGCAGCAACGCCGCGUGGAGGAUGAAGUCCCUUGGGACGUAAAACUCCUUUCGAUCGGGACGAUUAUGAACGGUACCGGAAGAAGGAAGCCCCGGCUAAACUUCGCGCCAGCAGCCGC